rnacentral:rRNA from 1 species
UACGUAGGGUGCGAGCGUUAAUCGGAAUUACUGGGCGUAAAGCGUGCGCAGGCGGUUUUGUAAGGCAGAUGUGAAAUCCCCGGGCUCAACCUGGGAAUGGCAUUUGGGACUGCAAGGCUCGAGUGCGGCAGAGGAGACUGGAAUUCCUGGUGUAGCAGUGAAAUGCGUAGAUAUCAGGAGGAAUACCGAUGGCGAAGGCAGGUCUCUGGGCUGACACUGACGCUCAUGCACGAAAGCGUGGGGAGCAAACAGG